AAGACGAGAGUUGUUAUCUACGUAAUGGCAGUUCGCCAACAGCGACGACAGUCGCUAACAGUUUAGCAGUUUGCUUGCAGUUUCAGCAUUUCUAUGUUGAGAUGGGAACUCUUUAGAUAAUCCUUAAGGAAUUAUCCCACACAGUUGUUGAAUUUUUCUCUUCACUUUCCAAUGAUGGUCCACGACAGUGUCACAAUAAAGGAACCAACAUGAGUUAAA
rnacentral:lncRNA from 1 species